rnacentral:rRNA from 1 species
CCUACGGGUGGCAGCAGUGAGGAAUAUUGGUCAAUGGACGAGAGUCUGAACCAGCCAAGUAGCGUGAAGGAUGACUGCCCUAUGGGUUGUAAACUUCUUUUAUAUGGGAAUAAAAUGUUCCACGUGUGGGAUUUUGUAUGUACCAUAUGAAUAAGGAUCGGCUAACUCCGUGCCAGCAGCCGCGGUAAUACGGAGGAUCCGAGCGUUAUCCGGAUUUAUUGGGUUUAAAGGGAGCGUAGGUGGAUUGUUAAGUCAGUUGUGAAAGUUUGCGGCUCAACCGUAAAAUUGCAGUUGAAACUGGCAGUCUUGAGUACAGUAGAGGUGGGCGGAAUUCGUGGUGUAGCGGUGAAAUGCUUAGAUAUCACGAAGAACUCCGAUUGCGAAGGCAGCAUACCGGCGCCCAACUGACGCUGAAGCACGAAAGCGUGGGUAUCGAACAGGAUUAGAUACCCUUGUAGUC